AGCUGACCAUGGAAGCGAACGGGUUAGGACCUCAGGGUUUUCCAGAGCUGAAGAAUGACACAUUCCUGCGAGCAGCCUGGGGAGAGGAAACAGACUACACUCCCGUUUGGUGCAUGCGCCAGGCAGGCCGUUACUUACCAGAGUUUAGGGAAACCCGGGCUGCCCAGGACUUUUUCAGCACGUGUCGCUCUCCUGAGGCCUGCUGUGAACUGACUCUGCAGGUGAGGGGUCCACAAAAGAGGGAAAGAUUUAUGCCUUCAGUCUUCCACCUAGCAACCUGUCUCCUGUUUCCUACAGCCACUGCGUCGCUUCCCUCUGGAUGCUGCCAUCAUUUUCUCCGACAUCCUUGUUGUACCCCAGAUGUUUUCUCCUUCUCCAGGCACUGGGCAUGGAGGUGACCAUGGUACCUGGCAAAGGACCCAGCUUCCCAGAGCCAUUAAGAGAAGAGCAGGACCUAGAAUGCCUACGGGAUCCAGAAGUGGUAGCCUCUGAGCUAGACUAUGUGUUCCAAGCCAUCACCCUUACCCGACAACGACUGGCUGGACGUGUGCCGCUGAUUGGCUUUGCUGGUGCCCCAUGGACCCUGAUGACAUACAUGGUUGAGGGUGGUGGCUCAAGCACCAUGGCUCAGGCCAAGCGCUGGCUCUAUCAGAGACCUCAGGCUAGUCACCAGCUGCUUCGCAUCCUCACUGAUGCUCUGGUCCCAUAUCUGGUAGGACAAGUGGCGGCUGGUGCCCAG
rnacentral:sRNA from 1 species